rnacentral:rRNA from 1 species
AGAAGUGAGAAUGCCGGUGUGAGUAGCGAAAGACGGGUGAGAAUCCCGUCCACCGAUUGACUAAGGUUUCCAGAGGAAGGCUCGUCCGCUCUGGGUUAGUCGGGUCCUAAGCUGAGGCCGACAGGCGUAGGCGAUGGAUAACAGGUUGAUAUUCCUGUACCACCAUUAUUCGUUUUAAGCGAUGGGGGGACGCAGUAGGAUAGGCGAAGCGUGCUGUUGGAGUGCACGUCCAAGCAGUGAGAUUGAGUGUUAGGCAAAUCCGGCACUCUUAAGAUUGAGCUGUGAUGGGGAGAGGAACUUGUUCCUCGAGUCGUUGAUUUCACACUGCCGAGAAAAGCCUCUAGCUAGAAUAACGGUGCCCGUACCGCAAACCGACACAGGUAGUCAAGAUGAGAAUUCUAAGGUGAGCGAGCGAACUCUCGUUAAGGAACUCGGCAAAAUGACCCCGUAACUUCGGGAGAAGGGGUGCUCUUUGAGGUUCACGCUUCGAAGAGCCGCAGUGAAUAGGCCCAAGCGACUGUUUAUCAAAAACACAGGUCUCUGCUAAACCGUAAGGUGACGUAUAGGGGCUGACGCCUGCCCGGUGCUGGAAGGUUAAGAGGAGUGGUUAGCGCAAGCGAAGCUACGAAUCGAAGCCCCAGUAAACGGCGGCCGUAACUAUAACGGUCCUAAGGUAGCGAAAUUCCUUGUCGGGUAAGUUCCGACCCGCACGAAAGGCGUAACGAUUUGGGCACUGUCUCAACGAGAGACUCGGUGAAAUCAUAGUACCGGUGAAGAUGCCGGUUACCCGCGACAGGACGGAAAGACCCCGUGGAGCUUUACUGUAGCCUGAUAUUGAAAUUCGGUACAGUUUGUACAGGAUAGGUAGGAGCCUUAGAAGCGUGAGCGCUAGCUUACGUGGAGGCAUUGGUGGGAUACUACCCUAAUUGUAUUGGAUUUCUAACCCGCAGCACUUAUCGUGCUGGGAGACAGUGUCAGGCGGGCAGUUUGACUGGGGCGGUCGCCUCCUAAAGAGUAACGGAGGCGCUCAAAGGUUCCCUCAGAAUGGUUGGAAAUCAUUCAUAGAGUGUAAAGGCAUAAGGGAGCUUGACUGCGAGACCUACAAGUCGAGCAGGGUCGAAAGACGGACUUAGUGAUCCGGUGGUUCCGCAUGGAAGGGCCAUCGCUCAACGGAUAAAAGCUACCCCGGGGAUAACAGGCUUAUCUCCCCCAAGAGUUCACAUCGACGGGGAGGUUUGGCACCUCGAUGUCGGCUCAUCGCAUCCUGGGGCUGUAGUCGGUCCCAAGGGUUGGGCUGUUCGCCCAUUAAAGCGGUACGCGAGCUGGGUUCAGAACGUCGUGAGACAGUUCGGUCCCUAUCCGUCGUGGGCGUAGGAAAUUUGAGAGGAGCUGUCCUUAGUACGAGAGGACCGGGAUGGACAUACCUCUGGUGUACCAGUUGUCGUGCCAACGGCAUAGCUGGGUAGCUAUGUAUGGACGGGAUAAGUGCUGAAAGCAUCUAAGCAUGAAGCCCCCCUCGAGAUGAGAUUUCCCAACUUCGGUUAUAAGAUCCCUCAAAGAUGAUGAGGUGAAUAGGUUCGAGGUGGAAGCGUAGCGAUACGUGGAGCUGACGAAUACUAAUCGAUCGAAGACUUAAUCAA